AGGCCCUGCUUGCAGGUACUCGAGUGGCGAACGGGUGAGUAACACGUGGGUGAUCUGCCCUGCACCUCGGGAUAAGCCUGGGAAACUGGGUCUAAUACCGGAUAGGAGCCAUUUUUAGUGUGAUGGUUGGAAAGUUUUUUCGGUGUAGGAUGAGCUCGCGGCCUAUCAGCUUGUUGGUGGGGUAAUGGCCUACCAAGGCGGCGACGGGUAGCCGGCCUGAGAGGGUGGACGGCCACAUUGGGACUGAGAUACGGCCCAGACUCCUACGGGAGGCAGCAGUGGGGAAUAUUGCACAAUGGGCGCAAGCCUGAUGCAGCGACGCCGCGUGGGGGAUGACGGCCUUCGGGUUGUAAACUCCUUUCGCUAGGGACGAAGCUUUUUGUGACGGUACCUAGAUAAGAAGCACCGGCUAACUACGUGCCAGCAGCCGCGGUAAUACGUAGGGUGCGAGCGUUGUCCGGAAUUACUGGGCGUAAAGGGCUCGUAGGUGGUUUGUCGCGUCGUCUGUGAAAUUCCGGGGCUUAACUCCGGGCGUGCAGGCGAUACGGGCAUAACUUGAGUACUGUAGGGGUAACUGGAAUUCCUGGUGUAGCGGUGAAAUGCGCAGAUAUCAGGAGGAACACCGAUGGCGAAGGCAGG
rnacentral:rRNA from 1 species